AGUGAACGCUGGCGGUAGGCCUAACACAUGCAGUCGAACGGCAGCACAGUAAGAGCUUGCUCUUACGGGUGGCGAGUGGCGGACGGGUGAGGAAUACAUCGGAAUCUACUUUUUCGCGGGGGAUAACGUAGGGAAACUUACGCUAAUACCGCAUACGACCUACGGGUGAAAGCAGGGGAUCUUCGGACCUUGCGCGAUUGAAUGAGCCGAUGUCGGAUUAGCUAGUUGGCGGGGUAAAGGCCCACCAAGGCGACGAUCCGUAGCUGGUCUGAGAGGAUGAUCAGCCACACUGGAACUGAGACACGGUCCAGACUCCUACGGGAGGCAGCAGUGGGGAAUAUUGGACAAAGGGCGCAAGCCUGAUCCAGCCAUACCGCGUGGGUGAAGAAGGCCUUCGGGUUGUAAAGCCCUUUUGUUGGGAAAGAAAAGCAGCAGGUUAAUACCCCGCUGUUCUGACGGUACCCAAAGAAUAAGCACCGGCUAACUUCGUG
rnacentral:rRNA from 1 species